GUUGAGUCAUUAUUGUUUCUUGAAUUACCCAAUUUUAGGGCAUUCUUUGACGGAGUUGUUCCUCCAUACAGUGUUUCCUUUAACCUUAAGAAAUUGUACUUCUGUAGAUGUUCCAGUAUUAGGAAUAUUUUCCCUGCUAAGUUGUUGCAGAACUUCCCAAACCUCGAGCAACUUGAAGUGUCUUAUUGUAAACAUGUGGAGGACAUAUUUGUAGAAGUAGAGAUGAGCGAUCAGGGUCAUCAUCAAGAGGAUAGCAACACAAUCACACUACGAAAUUUCCAGAGAUUACAACUGUCAAGUCUACCAAGACUGAAGAGCAUAUAUAAGGGCAAAAUGGUCUGUGGAUCUCUGCAAGAUAUUGUUGUAGACAAGUGUCACACAUUAAGGAGACUACCUCUUUCUUUGCACAUGGAUAACGGGCAAGCAUCAGCACCACCUGCGCUUCAGCACAUUUGGGGAGAUAAUGAAUGGUGGGAAUCUCUGGAUUGGGCUGAUUCUUAUAGCAAAUCCAUUCUUCAGCCUUUGUUCUCCCUUAAAUACUAAGUUGCUCCCACCAUGUCAUGCACAACCACUUUUUCCAAGAUCCACCAUUGCCGACCACUGCAAACACAUUCGGAGAACAGGGAGGUGCAUUUUGAUUGAAGAUAGCUGGCGGUAAUACAUUGAUGUGUUCUUUUUACCAUUAUUUUGGUAAUGAAUAAACACAAUGUUCUAUUUUCGUAACUGGGUAGCACAAUGUACUGGUACUGUUUGUUGAAAUGUUUGAGUGAAUAUAAUUAUUUCAUUUUGGCUUGAGUUUGACUA